UUUUUAAAACAUCUCCUUUUGGUUUUAAUUAAAGGUAAGGCCUGCUCAAUGAUUAAUUAAAUAGCCGCGAUAUUUUAUCGUGCAAAGGUAGCAUAAUAAUUUGUCCCUUAAUUAGGGUCUAGAAUGAAGGGUUUAACGAGAAAUAAACUUUUUUAGUCAAAUUUUUUUUAAUUUAAUUUUUUAGUUAAAAAGCUAAAAUGGUAUUAUGGGACGAUAAGACCCUAUAAAAUUUUAUUUUAGUAUUUCUAUUUAAUAGUUAGAUUUUUAUAUUUAUUUAGAAUUAUUAAAAUUUGGUUGGGGCGACUGUUUAAUUUAAUAAACUUAAUUUUUUAAAAAUUCAUAAAUUAAUGAUUAUUUGAUCCUAAAUUUUAGAUUAUAAGAAUAAAUUACUUUAGGGAUAACAGCGUAAUUUUCUUGGGGAGUUCUUAUUUAUAGGAAAGUUUGCGACCUCGAUGUUGGAUUAAAGUUUAAUUUUGGUGUAGCAGCUAAAAAUAUUAAGUCUGUUCGACUUUUAAAACUUUACAUGAUCUG
rnacentral:rRNA from 1 species